UACAGAGGUGGCAAGCGUUGUUCGGAAUUACUGGGCGUAAAGGGCGCGUAGGCGGCCGCCUAAGUCAGACGUGAAAUCCCCAAGCUUAACUUGGGAACUGCGUCUGAUACUGGGUGGCUUGAGUUCGGGAGAGGAAUGCAGAAUUCCAGGUGUAGCGGUGAAAUGCGUAGAUAUCUGGAGGAACACCGGUGGCGAAGGCGGCAUCCUGGACCGGUAUUGACGCUGAGGCGCGAAAGCCAGGGGAGCAAGCGGG
rnacentral:rRNA from 1 species